GACGAACGCUGGCGGCGUGCUUAACACAUGCAAGUCGUACGGUAAGGCCCUUUCGGGGGUACACGAGUGGCGAACGGGUGAGUAACACGUGAGUAACCUGCCCACAACUUUGGGAUAACGCUAGGAAACUGGUGCUAAUACUGGAUAUGUGCUCCUGCUGCAUGGUGGGGGUUGGAAAGCUCCGGCGGUUGUGGAUGGACUCGCGGCCUAUCAGCUUGUUGGUGGGGUAGUGGCCUACCAAGGCGGCGACGGGUAGCCGGCCUGAGAGGGUGACCGGCCACAUUGGGACUGAGAUACGACCCAGACUCCUGCGGGAGGCAGCAGUGGGGAAUAUUGCACAAUGGGCGCAAGCCUGAUGCAGCAACGCCGCGUGCGGGAUGACGGCCUUCGGGUUGUAAACCGCUUUCAGCAGGGACGAAGCUUUUUGUGACGGUACCUGCAGAAGAAGCACCGGCUAACUACGUG
rnacentral:rRNA from 1 species